rnacentral:rRNA from 1 species
GACGAACGCUGGCGGCGUGCCUAACACAUGCAAGUUGAGCGACGAACCAGGGCUUGCCCUGGGGCAAAGCAGCGAACGGGUGAGUAACACGUGGGUAACCUACCCCGAUAACCGGGACAACCCGAGGAAACUCGGGCUAAUACCGGAUGUGCUCACUGGACUUCGGUUCAGUGCGUAAAGGAAGCUUCGGCCUCCGUAUCGGGAGGGGCCCGCGGCCCAUUAGUUUGUUGGUGAGGUAACGGCUCACCAAGACCGCGAUGGGUAGCUGGUCUGGUAGGACGGUCAGCCACACUGGGACUGAGACACGGCCCAGACUCCUACGGGAGGCAGCAGUGGGGAAUCUUGCGCAAUGCGCGAAAGCGUGACGCAGCAACGCCGCGUGGGGGAAGAAGGCCUUCGGGUUGUAAACCCCUUUCAGGAGGGACGAAGGUGCGGCGGUGAAUAGCCGUCCGGACUGACGGUACCUCCACAAGAAGCCCCGGCUAACUACGUG